rnacentral:rRNA from 1 species
AUUGAACGCUGGCGGCAGGCCUAACACAUGCAAGUCGAGCGGAUGAAGGGAGCUUGCUCCUGGAUUCAGCGGCGGACGGGUGAGUAAUGCCUAGGAAUCUGCCUGGUAGUGGGGGAUAACGUCCGGAAACGGGCGCUAAUACCGCAUACGUCCUGAGGGAGAAAGUGGGGGAUCUUCGGACCUCACGCUAUCAGAUGAGCCUAGGUCGGAUUAGCUAGUUGGUGGGGUAAAGGCCUACCAAGGCGACGAUCCGUAACUGGUCUGAGAGGAUGACCAGUCACACUGGAACUGAGACACGGUCCAGACUCCUACGGGAGGCAACAGUGGGGAAUAUUGGACAAUGGGCGAAAGCCUGAUCCAGCCAUGCCGCGUGUGUGAAGAAGGUCUUCGGAUUGUAAAGCACUUUAAGUUGGGAGGAAGGGCAGUAAGUUAAUACCUUGCUGUUUUGACGUUACCAACAGAAUAAGCACCGGCUAACUUCGUG